rnacentral:rRNA from 1 species
UACGACUACAUAUCAGGCAUAUCAAUAAGCGGAGGAAAAGAAACUAACAAGGAUUCCCUUAGUAACGGCGAGUGAAGCGGGAAGAGCUCAAAUUUGAAAUCUUCAAGGUUUUACCUUGACGAAUUGUAGUUUAAAGAAGUGUUUUCUGUUGAAGUUUUGGUAAAAGUUCUUUGGAAUAGGACAUCAUAGAGGGUGAGAAUCCCGUAUUUGACCAUUAUUUCCAGCUGUGUGAUACACUUUCAAAGAGUCGGAUUGUUUGGGAAUGCAGUCCAAAAUGGGUGGUAAAUUUCAUCUAAAGCUAAAUAUUGGCGAGAGACCGAUAGCGAACAAGUACCGUGAGGGAAAGAUGAAAAGAACUUUGAAAAGAGAGUUAAACAGUACGUGAAAUUGUCAAAAGGGAAGCGUUUGACACCAGUGUUGUUUUCUCGAAAAUCAAUUAAAAAAGGCUGGAUUUUGUGUUGUAUUGACCUUAAUCAGCUUGCUUCACUCUUUUCAUUGUCUUUUUUAAUGCACUUUUCGUUUAACAAGUCAACAUCAGUUUCUUUUGUUGUAAAAGGGUCAUUGGAAGGUGGCUUUCUCUUCGGAGAAAGUGUUUAUAGCCUUCUGCUCUCUGCAAUCGGAGAGAUUGAGGUCUGCAGCGUAGAUCCUUCGGGGUUAGAUACAUUUGUGCUAAGUUAUAGCCUUUCAUAGACAACUUGUUGACUAUGAUUCAGUCAUGUAACUUACUCGCUUAUGCUAUUUUACCUACGCUUAGGAUGUUGAGCGCAUGUCUCUCUCU